rnacentral:lncRNA from 1 species
UCCAGGCGGUGCCCAAGGGGUGGCGGGGGAAGUUCGGUCCGUCUAGUGCUGGGAGGUGUCCUCGGACCGCCUCGAGGGCGCCCGGAGACGCGCGGAGGCAGCAGUCCCGGCUCCGCAGGGAGCUCCACCACGUUUAAGAAAUCGGAUCCGAUGAUAAAGAGAAAAGGAUAAACUUCUAUCCUAGUCACCUCCUGCCGGACGAGGAUUUGCUGGCGCGGAGGCAGAGGGGACAGAAGACCACAGGCCUUUUGGGGAACUCGGAACAAAAGGCCUGACGUGGCAUGUUGGCACACAUUGUACAUCUGCUUUAGACAUUUACAAUGUUCCAAAGCCAAGAAUGAUGCCCUGAAGAUAGGGAUCUUGCCUACCCCAUAUGGGCAUUUCUUUAAGGAUAAGCAUGUCUUCCCAGAAGCUAAGGAUUAAUUACUCAUCUGGUUUAACUCAUCUCCUGACCACUGACCUGCUGACCAGCGACUUGCUGCAGUCACCUGGUGAACACUGACCUGCUGUGCUACCAAAGUAUCUCGUGACUGUAGUACAAGAGAUCUUCCUGUCACAUGUGAUGUAUGCUCUUUGUUCCAAUGAUGAGGAUCAAGGCUGCCCCUGCCCCAGGGAGAAAAGCCCAAGGCGUCCUGCCCUACAUACUGAUCUAUAUCAUCCUCGGGAAGCACAGGACGUCCUGACUUAAUCCGAUCUGAGUCUUACCUAAAGUUAUAGGACCACCCAAUAGCCAGACCCCACCUGCACUGAUACUAUUUUAAUGACUUUUUUACAUAAUCUUUCCUUUGUCUUGUAAAAAGAUAAUUGACAUACCUAUGCCUUAAAUUUAGCCCUACCCUCAACCAGUGUUUGCAGCUCUUACUGCCCGUGGGUCCUGUCCCCUUGCUGCUCCAUGCUAUUCUCUGAAUAAAAGAGCACUACUGCCAAAC